GCGGCUCCCAGCGUUAGGACUACAAUUCCCAGAACACACGGCGCGACAACUCUUCGCGCGCGCCUCAGAGGCGGGACCUCACCGAGGGAGUGGAGCAGCAAGCAGAGGGAGGAGAAGAGUGGUGGUGGGCGGAGCCCUGCCACCUGCUCUCGCCACCCUUAAACUCUCCGGGUCUCGAGCUGCGCUGAAAACAGGAAAACGGCUUGUUUUGCUCGGGAAAGUUCUGAGCUUUCGCUUUUACGUCCCGCCUCUGGCCCAGGGCUAACUUUCCCCACCUGUCCGGGAGGUCAAGGUGACUACCAGUCUUACAAGUGGAGACUCACAAACUUCCAGGGCUGGAGGGUUGCUGAGGUGCCGCACUUGCCUCACGAAGGAAGGACCCGUCCUUAGCUGAUCAGUUGCUGGAGUCGCCCUCCUGCAGCCCCAAUAAUGAAUUGAGGCUCUUCUGUUUAAUAUGAGGCGGAAUACGCUUCCUCUCGCGGGGACUGAACUCGAGCAGCAGAAUCAACCCAAAAGACAAGUUGAACUAUCAUAUGUGCUAUGAACAACCUUAAUGUCGACAACAACUUGUUAGGCCUCUCACUGCUGCGGCCUCUCUACCGUUGCGGAGCACCGGC